GUCUAACCUGCCCACUGAAAUUAUUUAAAUGGCCGCAGUAUUUUAACUGUGCAAAGGUAGCWUWAUCAUUAGUCUUUUAAUUGAAGGCUGGUAUGAAUGGUUGGACGAGGUAUAAGCUGUUUCAUAUAAAUUUAUAGUAGAAUUUUAUUUUUUAGUUAAAAAGCUAAAAUUUAAUUAAAAGACGAGAAGACCCUAUAAAUCUUUAUAUUUUGUACUAUUUAAAUUUUUUAGAUUUGUUUUAUUUUUAUAGUUUAAAGUAUUUUGUUGGGGUGAUAUUAAAAUUUAUUGAACUUUUAAUUAUUUUAAAUCAUUAAUUUAUGAAUUAUUGAUCCAUUAAUAGUGAUUAWAAGAUUAAGUUACUUUAGGGAUAACAGCGUAAUUUUUUUGGAGAGGUCAUAUCGAUAAAAAAGU
rnacentral:rRNA from 1 species